rnacentral:misc_RNA from 1 species
GCAAUUUAGCCCCAAACUGACACAAUUUAUAGCAUCUCUGAUGAAUUUAAAGUGGAUCAAGCAGGAGUAUUGUGAAAUUGACAGGUUUUUGUCUUGCGAUUUCUCUGAUAGUUUGUUCAUCUUCUAUAACAGCAAACAAAUGGAAAUGUCAAAAACUCUGAACGAGUUUAGAGUUGGGUCUGUACCCACUGUGUUCUACAUUCCAG